rnacentral:rRNA from 1 species
AUGGACGCAGCAGCAGUUGGUGCCGAGGGAGAGGAGAGCGUGGGGCAGCACGAGAAGGUGUCCUUCAUGGGGCUGUUCCGGCAUGCCGACGGCAAGGACCAGCUGCUGAUGCUGGUCGGCACGGUGGCCGCGCUGGCCAACGGCAUGACCACGCCCCUCAUGACCGUCUUCUUCGGCGACGUCCUCGACGCUUUUGGCGGCGCCACCGACGCCAACGUCCUCCAGCGCGUCAACAAGGCGGUUCUGAACUUUGUCUACUUGGGUAUCGGAGCAGCAGUCAUAUCCUUUCUUCAGGUGUCAUGCUGGACAAUUACCGGUGAAAGGCAGGCAUCACUCAUUCGAUCUGAAUACCUCAAAUCUGUCUUGAGACAGGAUAUUUCAUUCUUUGACACAGAAAUGACAACUGGGCAAGUAGUUUCAAAAAUGUCUGGUGAUACAGUGCUAGUUCAAGAUGCUAUUGGUGAGAAGGUCGGCAAGUUCCAAAACCUCGUGGCUGCUUUCCUUGGUGGUUUCAUUGUAGGUUUUGUGAAAGGAUGGAUUCUAUCUCUUGUCAUGUUGGCAUGCGUACCUCCAAUUUUAUUUGCUGCAGGAGUAGUGGCAAAAGUAUUGUCAAAAAUCUCUAGCAGAGGUCAAGCAUCAUACAGUAAUGCGGGGAACAUUGUCGAACAGACAAUUGGAGCCAUAAAAACAGUUGUUUCUUUCAAUGGAGAGAAGAAGGCCAUCAUAUCGUACAAUAAACUAAUACACAAAGCAUACAAGACUGAUGUUGAGGAAGGACUUACCAAUGGCUUUGGCAUGGCAUCUGUUUUGUUCGUAUUCUACUCUAGCUAUGGUUUAGCCAUAUGGUACGGUGGAAAGUUGGUACUUGCAAAAGGAUACACAGGAGGACAAGUCAUCACUGUCUUAUUGGCUAUCAUGACUGGGGCAAUGUCUUUAGGUAAUGCAGCCCCAUGUAUGACUGCCUUUAUAGAAGGACAAUCAGCAGCACAUAGAUUAUUCACAACAAUCAAGAGGAAACCAGAGAUUGACCCUAACAACAAUAGUGGUGAGAAACUAGUAGACAUGAGGGGUGAUAUUGAGCUAAAGGAUGUCUAUUUUAGCUACCCAACAAGGCGUGGGCAACUAAUAUUUGAUGGAUUCUCACUACAUGUGCCUAGUGGCACUACAAUGGCUAUAGUUGGAGAGAGUGGGAGUGGCAAGUCAACUGUGAUUAGUCUUGUAGAGAGAUUCUAUGAUCCGCAAGCUGGAGAGGUUUUGAUUGACGGGGUUAAUAUAAAAGAUUUACAGCUUGAUUCGAUAAGAAGGAAAAUUUCUCUUGUUGGCCAAGAGCCCUUGCUCUUUAUGACAUCAAUUAAAGAUAACAUAACAUAUGGAAAAGAAGAUGCAACAAUUGAGGAGAUCAAGAGAGCCGCUAAGCUCGCCAACGCAGCAAUUUUUAUCGAUAAGUUGCCCAAUGGUUAUGACACAAUGGUUGGCCAGCGUGGUGCUCAACUUUCAGGGGGACAAAAGCAAAGGAUUGCAAUUGCUAGGGCAAUCAUUAAAAACCCCAGAAUACUUUUGUUAGACGAGGCUACUAGUGCAUUAGAUGUGGAGUCAGAGAGGAUAGUUCAGGAGGCAUUGGAUAGGAUCAUGGUGGACAGAACUACGCUUGUGGUUGCACAUCGUCUAACUACUGUGAGAAACGUUGAUUGCAUAUCAGUUAUUCAACAAGGAAAGAUAGUUCAACAAGGUUCCCAUGAUGAAUUAAUACUAAACUUAGAUGGUGCCUACUCUCAACUUAUUCUGCUCCAAGAAAGUCAUGUAGAGCAGAAAAUGGACCAUCGACUAUCUGCUUCAAUAUCAAGUACAAGCCUGUCAUUGAAGCGGUCGAUUAGUGCUUCACUAGGAAAUAAUAAUGAGCUUUCUUGCACACUCCCAUUCGGGCUACCUAGCACAAUUGAGAUGCCUGGAGAAUAUGACACACAUGGAAAUAAUCAAAAAGAGAAGAAUGGUGAGGGAGAGGCACCAAAGAAAGAUCCUAUGGUACGUCUAGCAAUUCUUAACAAGCCAGAGGUACCUAUUCUUAUAUUAGGAUCCCUAGCUGCGGCAGUUCAUGGAGUUAUUUUUCCAGUGUUUGGUUUAGUGAUUUCAAGUGCAAUUAAAUCUUUAUAUGAGCCGGCAGAUAAACUUAGAAGUGAUACAAGUUUUUGGGGUAUGAUGUGCUUUGUUAUGGGUAUCAUAUCAGUAAUCACAAUACCAGCAGAGUUCUUAUUAUUUGGAAUAGCUGGAGGCAAGCUUAUAGAGCGCAUCCGAGCUUUGUCAUUUCAAAGCAUUGUUCACCAAGAAGUUGCUUGGUUUGAUGAUCCUAGAAAUUCCAGCGGAGCACUUGGUGCAAGACUAUCAAUUGAUGCUUUGAAUGUCCGGCGUUUAGUGGGCGAUAACUUGUCAUUAAUUAUUCAACUUAGCUCAACGCUUGUCACAGGAGUUGUCAUUUCUAUGAUAGCUGACUGGAAGCUAGCUUUGAUCACCAUGUGUGUGAUUCCACUUGUGGGUCUUCAAAGUUAUGCCCACGUGAAGUUCCUGAAUGGUUUUAGUCAAGAUGCUAAGAUGAUGUAUGAAGAUGCAAGUCAAGUGGCCACGGAUGCAGUUAGUAGUAUAAGGACAAUAGCUUCCUUUUGUUGUGAGAAAAGAAUUACAAGAAUAUAUGAUCGUAAAUGUAGAGCCUCAGUGAAUCAAGGAGUCAAAACAGGAAUAGUUGGGGGUAUUGGAUUUGGUUUCUCAUACUUGACAUUGUACCUCACAUACGGCCUUUGUUUCUAUGUCGGGGGGCAAUUUGUGCGACAAGGCAAAUCAAAUUUUGGUGAAGUUUUUAAGGUUUUCUUUGCACUGGUCUUAGCAACUAUGGGAGUAUCUGAAACAAGUGCAAUGGCCUCCGAUUCAAAAAAAGCAAAGGAUUCAGCUAUCUCUAUAUUUACUUUGCUAGACCGAGUAUCCGAAAUUGAUUCAAGGAGCAAUCAGGGUUUGAUAUUAGAUGAGGUCAAGGGGAACAUAGAUUUCCAACAAGUCAGCUUCAAAUACCCAAGUCGCCUAGAUAUUCAAAUCUUCCAUGACUUUACCCUGCACAUACCCUCUAGAAAGACUGUUGCGCUUGUUGGAGAAAGUGGUAGCGGCAAGUCAACUGUAAUCACACUAUUGGAGAGAUUCUACAAUCCCGAUUCGGGUACCAUUCAAUUGGACGGAGUGGAAAUCAAGAGCUUAAACAUAAAUUGGUUUAGAAACCAAAUUGGACUGGUGAGCCAAGAGCCUAUACUCUUCAAUGACACAAUACGUGCCAACAUAGCCUAUGGUAAGGAUGGGGAUGUCACCGAAGAGGAGCUCAUUGCAGCUGCAAAAAUAUCCAAUGCACAUGAGUUCAUAUCAAGCCUUCCUCAAGGGUAUGGCACCUUCGUUGGGGAGAGAGGGGCACAACUAUCCGGUGGCCAGAAGCAACGGGUGGCUAUUGCGAGGGCGAUACUCAAAGAUCCUAAGAUACUACUACUCGACGAAGCAACUAGUGCCUUGGAUGCAGAAUCUGAGCGAAUUGUGCAGAAUGCCUUAGAUCAUGUGAUGGUUGGCAGGACCACGAUUGUCGUGGCACACCGCCUAUCUACUAUCAAAGGCGCCGAUAUCAUUGCAGUUCUCAAAGAUGGUGCAAUAGUGGAGAAAGGAAGUCAUGACUCCUUGGUGAACAUCAAAGAUGGAUUGUAUGCUUCACUAGUUGAACUCCGUUCAGCAUCACCGUAA